AUUGAACGCUGGCGGCAGGCCUAACACAUGCAAGUCGAACGGUAACAGGAAGAAGCUUGCUUCUUUGCUGACGAGUGGCGGGCGGGUGAGUAAUGUCUGUGAAACUGUCUGAUGGAGGGGGAUAACUACUGGAAACGGUAGCUAAUACCGCAUAACGUCGCAAGACCAAAGAGGGGGACCUUCGGGCCCCUUGCCCUCGGAUGUGCCCAGAUGGGAUUAGCUAGUAGGUGGGGUAACGGCUCACCUAGGCGACGAUCCCUAGCUGGUCUGAGAGGAUGAGCAGCCACACUGGAACUGAGACACGGUCCAGACUCCUACGGGAGGCAGCAGUGGGGAAUAUUGCACAAUGGGCGCAAGCCUGAUGCAGCCAUGCCGCGUGUAUGAAGAAGGCCUUCGGGUUGUAAAGUACUUUCAGCGGGGAGGAAGGGAGUAAAGUUAAUACCUUUGCUCAUUGACGUUACCCGCAGAAGAAGCACCGGCUAACUCCGUG
rnacentral:rRNA from 1 species